rnacentral:rRNA from 1 species
UUCGAUUGUUUGAUCAUGGCUCAGAACAAACGCUGGCGGCAUGCCUAACACAUGCAAGUCAAACGAAGAAUGUUUACAUUCUUAGUGGCAAACGGGUGAGUAACGCGUGAGAAUCUGCCUUUUGGUGAAGGAUAACUAAGGGAAACUUUAGCUAAUACCGCAUAAGCUUGGAAACAAGGAAAAAUUUAUUGCCAAGAGAUGAGCUCGCGUCAGAUUAGGUAGUUGGUAGGGUAAAGGCCUACCAAGCCUGUGAUCUGUAGCUGGUCUGAGAGGAUGAUCAGCCACACUGGGAUUGAGAUACGGCCCAGACUCCUACGGGAGGCAGCAGUGAGGAAUAUUGGACAAUGGGGGAAACCCUGAUCCAGCAAUGCCGCGUGAGUGAAGAAGGCCUUUGGGUUGUAAAGCUCUUUUACUCGUGAAGAUGAUGACGGUAGCGAGAGAAAAAGUUCCGGCUAACUCUGUGCCAGCAGCCGCGGUAAGACAGAGGGAACUAGCGUUGUUCGGAUUGACUGGGCGUAAAGGGUGCGUAGGUGGUCACUUAAGUAAGAUGUUAAAGCCCAGGGCUUAACCCUGGAAUCGCGUUUUAAACUGAGAGACUAGAGUGUGGUAGAGGAAAACGGAAUUCCUAGUGUAGAGGUGAAAUUCGUAGAUAUUAGGAGGAACACCGGAGGCGAAGGCGGUUUUCUGGGCCAUUACUGACACUGAGGCACGAAAGCGUGGGGAGCAAACAGGAUUAGAUACCCUGGUAGUCCACGCCCUAAACGAUGAGUGCUAGACGUCGGGUUUUCUCGGUGUCGCAGCUAACGCGUAAGCACUCCGCCUG